rnacentral:rRNA from 1 species
GCCUAAAAUCUAGCCUAAGAAUAUAUACAUAUAAAAAGGACUAAAUAAUAUAAAUAUAAAACAUUUUACCUUUAAAGUAGAGGCGAUCGAAAAAACUCUCAGCGCUUUAGAAGUUGUACCGCAAGGGAAAGAUGAAAUAGAAAUGAAAUAUAUUUAAAGCUAAUAAAAGCAGAGAUGUAAGCUC